UACGAGGGGGGCAAGUGUUGUUCGGAAUCACUGGGCGUAAAGGGAGCGUAGGCGGAUGUUUAAGUCGGGUGUUUAAAACCGGGGCCCAACCCCGGAGCGGCACCCGAAACUGGGCAUCUUGAAUAGGUCAGAGGCUGGUGGGAAUUGGAGGUGUAGCGGUGGAAUGCGUAGAGAUCUCCAAGAACACCUAUUGCGAAGGCAGCCAGCUGGGACCAUAUUGACGCUGAGGCUCGAAAGCAUGGGGAGCAAACAGG
rnacentral:rRNA from 1 species